rnacentral:miRNA from 1 species
UUAGCUUUCACUGAAUGGCAGC